CUCCCUAAGAAAUAAUGUUGCAAAAUUAUAAAAUCUGAUUUACAGAAAAAAUAUGUAUCUAGGACGUAGAUUAUAUUUAUAUAGCAGUGUUAAUUGUGGAUGCGGAUGUGCUAUCAAGGGAUACAAUGUAAAAGUAUCAAAAAAUUUAAUUGAUAAUUUCACAAGUAUAUAUUCUAACUCAACUCUUCUCUCUCUCUCUCUCUAUAUAUAGAUAUGAACGAUGAUAUGCGUGAAGUAUUAUGAGUGAGAUAAAAGGUAGGGCGAAGUAAUAUUUAAUUGCUUAGGGUUUGUUUAGUUCAACAUAAAAUUAAUGUACCACGAAAAGAAAAAAAAUUCGUAGAAGAAAUUUUCGGUGAAAAAAGUUUUACAUUUUGUAAUGUUUGACUUGUAGAAAAGAAAUCGUUUUCCGUCCAGAUUUAUUUAGCUGAAAGGAAAAAAUUUAUAUUUGUUUGAUUGGGUGGAAAAACAAAUAAUGAAAAAAAAAAUUAUGCAGCUUGAGUUUUCGUUUUUGGUCGAAAAAAAAAAGCGAAAAAUCGAAAGCUUUAUUUUUUCUU
rnacentral:lncRNA from 1 species